rnacentral:rRNA from 1 species
AUGUCGUCUUGCACCCCCCGUGAGAAUACCACGACAUUUGGCGCCCACCGUGGGGCGGUACUAUGCUACCGCGCUGCUGCUGGUUUCGCAGUCCGGGGCAGGACCAUUUUCGUCUUCACCGCUACGGCGUCGCGCCGUCUCUCCAGUAGCGGUCGGGGCUCGACAUCGACACGCCUCCGAAGUGGCCCCGCGGGACGGCGCGUCCUCGCCGUCGGCCUCGGCAUCUUCGUCAUCACUGCCGCAACGUCGCGCCGCCUCUCCGGCGCCGGUCGGGGGAUUGACAUCAGCACGCCCCUGGCGCGCCAUGCGAGGCGAUGCGUCGUCGUUGUUUGUCAGUCUUUGCGCCCGCUGCGCCAACCACCGUGA